GUGAUUGUGACAUUAUCUGAGGCAGGUUUGGAAGAGGAUCCUGGGCAGUGUGACUGCUGGUUCCUGUCUGCUCGGUGAAUGCCGACCCUCACAUGGUGCCCUCCCUCUGUCUCUGCUCUGGGCUGGUUCUGUACUCCCCACCCUGGCUCUGCUUCCCUGGCUAAAGCCCACCCUCUGCUUAACUUGUCUGCACUCUAGGUGCUUGCCGGGGCCCUCCCCCAACCCUAGCUGCCUCUUCAGACAGACAACUUCCAAGGCAUCCUGUAAAAUAAAGACCAUGAAGGAAAGAAACCUGGCCCAAGGCAGUGAAGCUUUCUAAUUCUCUUUCUCCUCUAUUGGGAGAUGAGAUGAGAGGACGUUUGGGUGGGGAAGAAAGGGAUAACCUGUGAGACAUAGGCCAUCUGUGACUCAGGAAACCGUGGAAACCCACCCUCCCUCUAGCUAAGGUACACAAAACCACUGGGAAUGUACCCAAUUAUGACCCAGAGAAAGUGACGACGGGGACAGGGCCUGGGGAAUGUGUAAGAGUUAAAGAAAGAAGAAAGGAAACAUGAAAAGUGGCUUCACAGUCAAAGACAGGUUUAUUUUGGAAAAUAAACCUGAGAGGGGCUUCUGGCUGAUUUCGGUCAGGAGCACUCUCUUACAGACUAAGGGUAUUUAAGGGUUUAGGGAGGGGAGCUUAUCGCAGGCUCGGAAUGUUUCUGUGUGAGGGAAAGUUUAUUGCAGGGUUGGAAUGCCUCUGUUUGGAGACGAGGUUAUCUCAGGGUUGGCAUGUUUCUGGUCAGAGGGGGGGUUUAUCUCAGGGUUGGAAUGUUUCUGGUCAUGCUGACAUUAGCCAUUAGGCUGAUGUUUUGGGGCUGGAUUUAGGUGGUUUUUAAUCAAGGAGAACUUAAAAUGGUGGCGUUUGUCCAAGAUGGUGAUGCUCCUGCUCUAUCAGAAUGUGGUUAAACAUGCAGUGGAAUGAAGGCAAGGCCAGACGUAUACUGACACAGUGCGGAUCAAAAGUUCAGAGACUUUGGGGCCAAGGUGCAGGGCUGGGGAUGGGCAGGUGUCCAUGGAUACCCCGACACUGGAUCCAACUCUGCUACUGCUCACCUGAUACACGGGGUCCCAACAGGAAACAUCAGAGGGGCACAAUUAUAAGACAAAUCCACCCUUUUUCUGGGGUCUUGGGCCUUACGUGUUCUGGUUGACAGGGCAAAAUCCCAGGGGCUCUGGAGCCCCAGAUACUGGAGCUAUUCGUUCCUUCUUUACCCCUCAUUACAUGCAGUUACCUGUGGCUGACAUGACUGGCCACCAUUCCACCCCAGUUUAAUCCAACAUACAUAGUCACACUCAUCUGUAAACUUCCCAAAGGUGGGACCUUACGACCGACUUUGCUUCCCUCAUCUGAAUAUAUUAAUAAUUAAUAAUUUCUGACACAGAGUGAAAUGCUCAAUAAAUGUUUGUUGAACCAAACUAAACAACACCCAAGUGCUGUUAGUGCACCUGCAGAAGGGGAUUGAUGAUUAUCCUCCAGGAAGUAGCCAGUGCUUUGUGAGCACAGGCUCGGUCACAGGGAGCUUCUAUUCUGCAUGCUCCACUCCCCAGACUGGAAGGGGGCGAUGGAGGAGGAGGGUGGACACAGGAUACUGGAGGAGAGCAAGGAAGGCAGGCGGAUGAACCAGGAAGCUGCAUGAUGGGUUGCCCAGGCAGGGCAGGCAAUGGAGGAAGAGGGUGGAGACAGCCCCUGCCCCGGGGUCUCACAGGACAGUGGAGGAGAGGAAGGAAGGCAGGCAGAUGAACCCAGAAGCAGCAUGAUGGGUCGCCCAGGCAGGGCAGGCAAUGGAGGAAGAGGGUGGAGACAGCCCCUGCCCCGGAGUCUCACAGGACACUGGAGGAGAGGAGGGAAGGCAGGCAGAUGAACCCAGAAGCAGCAUGAUGGGUCGCCCAGGCAGGGCAGGCAAUGGAGGAAGAGGGUGGAGACAGCCCCUGCCCCGGAGUCUCACAGGACACUGGAGGAGAGGAGGGAAGGCAGGCGGAGGAACUACUGGAAGCAGCAUGAUGGGUUGCCCAGAUGGGGCAGGGCCCAGCAGGAGCUACCCCUGCAGAUGUGGGCAUAGGCGAGUUCACCAGGCUCUGAAAGUUGGGCUGGGAUUGCCCGGAUCUUAGAGACAAAGGCGUUGUAUUCCAGCCUCAUCGUUCUGCAGCUGGAGACGCGCUGAGAAUUCAGACUAAAGUGACCGGGGCCGGCAGUGGGGCUCCAGGCUCCUUCCAGGGAAGAGGGAUCACCCCGCUCCCACUGUCUGAAUCGUGUUUCUGUGCACGUUUUAGUCAGUUUGGUUUUUUCGUUUUUUAGAUGUCGCGUGGGGACCCCCAUUUUCUGUCCCUGUGCCUGGCUCCGGCCUUCCCCCAGCUCAUAGACAGGACGGGGAUGUGAGCAGCAGAGGAGCCCGGGGCAGGCCAGGAAGGACUCCCAUCCCCGUUUAUUUAGCAGGUGUGGAAUGAUUCGGUCUUUUCAUUGUAAUGCAGAUUUACAGUGCAAUAGGCAAUCUAUUUUUCAAUUUGGUAUACUGCCGCUGAUAAAUUAACAGAUGUCGAUUGACUUUUUCCCUCCAGUCCCCUGUGUUACACCUGACAGGCCUACUUUAUAGCUGAGCAGUUAUUUGAAGUUAUAAACAUUAUAAUUAGCAAUUUUUUAAUUAGGCUGACAAUUAACAGGAGAUUUGCAAAGCUGCUAAUUUGACAUGUCAUACUCUCCGUAGUGCUUAUGUUAACCACAACUUGAGUGAAUUCAAUUGAACAGAACCACAGUGUCUGGGAAAAAAUCAAUCUCAGAAGAACCCUUUCUCCCCACUUGGCUGGCUUCAUGGCACUUGGACAGAGAAGUGGAAAUUCAGAGAUUUUGCAGGAUAACAAUACUGACAGCUGAACCCCAAACAAUAGCAGCCUCCGCGAGACUAGCUCAGAGCACACGACACAAAGGCAGGUCCUGCUAAUUGCAUCUGAGGCUCUUGCUUCAAAGUCUUGACGACCUAAGGCAGGUUGGAGGCUCUGUUCUGAUGCCAGUUGCUCCUUAGACCUCAUCGCCAAGGAGACCUCCUGAUGCAGACACCAGCAAGGGCUGUCGUGACAGAGGCUUGUCCUGUAUGGCUGGGAGCUUCCCCUGCACCACUGGGUCCUGUGCUGAUGCCAAUGGAGUGAGAGAGAGAUAGAGAGACAGAGAGAAUCAGAGACAGAGAGAGACGCGAAUCAGGCAGAAUCAGAUAGAGACAGAAAAAGAGACAGACAGAAUCAGACAGAGACAGAGAGAGAAAAGAGAUACACAGAGAGAGAAAAACAGAGAGAAUCAGACAGAGACAGUAUCAGAUAGAGACAGAGAAAGACAAGAGAUACACAGAGAGACAGAGAAAAACAGAGAGAAUCAGAGAAUCAGAUAGAGACAGAGAGAGACAGAAUCAGAUAGAGAGAGACAGAAGAGCUACAUAGAGAGAGAGACAGAGAAAAACAGAGAGAAUCAGACAGAGAGACAUACAGAGAGAGAGAGAAUCAGAUAGAGACAGAGAGAGACAGAAAAAGACAAUCAGAUAGAGAUAGAGAGACACAGAGAGAGACAGGGAGAAUAAGAUACAGAGAGAGAGAGAGACAGCAUCAGACAGAAUCAGAUAGAGACAGAGAGAGAGAAUCAGACAGAGAGACACAGAGACACAGAGAGAGACAGUAGAGACAGAAGAGAUACACAGACACACACAGGAUCAGAUAAGAGACAGAGAGACACAGAAAGAGAGAGAGAGACUGAGAUAGAGAGAGACUGAGGCAGACACAGACAGAGAAUCAGAUAAAGAGAGACAGAGAAUCAGAUAAAGAGAGACAGAGACGGGGAGAAACAGAACCAGAGAGAAACUGAGAGCAGAGAGAAAGAGAGAGAAUCAGAGACAGAGAUAGAGAGGGAGAGACAGGAGAGAAAGACCGGGAGGGAGGCUGCCCUUCCACCUCCAGGGAGUUCAUCCCAUCCAUGCCUCCCAGCAAAGGAAGCUCUCACCAUGGCCCCUGGCUCUCGGAUUCCAGCACCCUGCGCUCGGCUUAGAGGACAUACUGCAUUUACAUCCUUGGACCUUGGAAGGCUUCUGAGGUCUGUUACUUGGUAACCGCCUGCAGCACAGGAGAUGCUGCCUUCUGUUGGAGGCCUCGAGAGACUCCAGAAAUGGGAGACCUUCAGGAAACCGUGGCUUCAGAGGGGAGAGAGAUGGCUAAAUCUCACUUCCUGUGUGCAAUGAGCAAGCCAUUAAUUAGAAUUUGCAGUACUACAAGAAGCAACGUACUGAAGUUGAGCUGUGCCAUUGAGCUUUGCUUAAUAACUUUUUGCUGCUUUCAUACUUUUUUGAAAAUCUAGAUCAGAAGAAAUUGGCCACCUGGAGACUCUGAAUCUGAAGACCUCUUUUCGAACUUUUCACAAGGCUGCAUGCUUUCUAUGGUGUACGUUGUGGAAAAAAAAAAUAGAAUUUGGCAUCACUGAGUUAAUCAGAAACCCUAAGUUUUAUGAGAACUUUUGUUAAACACCACACACACACACACACACACACACACAAAACACUAGAUGGGUACCACUGCUUUAGGAAGAGAGAGUUCCUUGAUUUUUCAACUUAAAGUAUCUUAUCUUUGAAGGAAUUUGCUUUGUUUUUUUCUGGCCCAUCCUAAUGCCUCUACUUCAUGGCAUGGAAAAAAAAUCCACAGCAUUCUCUGGGCAACAGGAUAAA
rnacentral:lncRNA from 1 species